CUACGGGGUGCUCCAGUGGGGAAUAUUGCACAAUGGAGGAAACUCUGAUGCAGCAACGCCGCGUGGAGGAUGACACUUUUCGGAGCGUAAACUCCUUUUAUAUAGGAAGAAGAUGACGGUACUAUAUGAAUAAGCGCCCGCUAACUCCGUGCCAGCAGCCGCGGUAAUACGGAGGGCGCAAGCGUUACCGGAAUCACUGGGCGUAAAGAGCGUGUAGGCGGAUUAAAAAGUCAGAAGUGAAAUCCUAUAGCUUAACUAUAGAACUGCUUCUGAAACUCUUAAUCUAGAAUAUGGGAGAGGUAGAUGGAAUUUCUGGUGUAGGGGUAAAAUCCGUAGAGAUCAGAAGGAAUACCGAUUGCGAAGGCGAUCUCCUGGAACAUUACUGACGCUAAGGCGUGAAAGCGUGGGGAGCAAACAGGAUUAGAUACCCCAGUAGUC
rnacentral:rRNA from 1 species